UAUUCAGUUGUCCGACGAUGACCGAUAAAAUCCAAAAAUCAGGGACUCAAAAUCCCCCGCCCCAAGGCGUGCCGGUUCGAUUCCGGCCCUGGGCACCA
rnacentral:tRNA from 5 species